AUGAAGAAGUAAGACGAUGACGAGUCGAGUGAAAUUUAAGUUCCAGAGAUGUGAAAAAACACAGGUGAAGAUCGACACAAUGAAGAAGAAGAUGAGUAGUAGAAAAAGACCUUUCGUAUUUCCCUUGAUGAUGAUGACAU
rnacentral:snoRNA from 1 species